AGUGCGACGAGGAGAUCGACUGGAAUGUAGUGGUAAGACUAUCCAUUCCGGUUGGCAUUGUCAGGGGGUAACUAGGAGACUACCCUCGUUGACGGUUCGCCUCUCACUGACGACUUGACUAUGUGCUUGAGACGCAUCUUUGAAGAUUUAUAAGAGCUUUAAUGUUUCUAGCGGAAAACUCGAUAAUGUUCGAAGCGAAUAUUAAUUUUCUUGUUUUAUUGAUAUGGCAGGUAAACCGUGCGGGCGUUACAUUAUUGCAAGACCUCGUCGUCGUCAGUCGUGUCGCGGAGCUGCUCAGUUGUCGACGCCGUCAUCGUACACGUACAACAAUAGAAAUAUUUGGCGAAAGAGAAAACACAAUGGAGAAUAUUGAACGAGCAGUUGUUUGUCAGAGGUAAGAUGGGGAUAUCGGUUCGUGAGAGAAUCAAAUACAAAUGCACACCAAUGAUCGCACAUUCAGUUUAUUAUAAUCCCAAGAGUAAUAUUAUGAUGUACGCAGUCAACGGGGAAAAUACAUUGGCUACGCUGCUGUGAAUGAUAUUUAUACAGAAGAUUCACUUUUAGAUCUAUUAGUUGAUUUGCUCGUUCGCAAUGGCGCUUGAAAUGCUCUGGUAAUCGUAAAAAAGUUCUAAAGCCAUUCGCUUGUGCUUCUCUCUUCUUUAAAAGUAAAUCUGUUAUCAAAAGUACGAUGCUCUUCCAGGAUCUAUAAGAGUUGCUGCAGAGAGUUCUCUAUAAAUCUAAAACUCGAGAAUAGUAAAGUGUCCUAAAUAAAUGCAAUCGUCGUGAAACUAUGAA